UCGGCGUCUCGUUACGUCCACUGGAACUUCAAGGCAAAAGCAUUAAUUUCGUGUGCGAAAGCGCCGUCCAUCGUUUGUGCAAUGUGUAAAGCUUGCGCGCAAUUCUCGUGGUUCUUGGAGCUUCGGUCAAGUACGAGCUGUUCAAGGAAUCGGCGGAAGACUCCGCAUGUGAUGGCCGACUCCCGUGGCUGCCUACUGCACCGCUGCAUGAAAGAAGCUAAAGAUUGACCUUGGCCGAGGAAUUUUAAUGGAAAACCAGAAGUGGCAGUGGCUUCCAGAAGAAACCGAGGGCUCCCUUGCUUUCUCAGAGAGAAAGAGCAAAGGCACUGUGGCGCAUCGAAAACCUGCACAACUAGAGCAUCCUUGUUCACCAUGCUGCUCUUUCAUCAAAGAGGAAGGUCAUCAUCCUCAGAGAAGCUUCAUGCACUGAAGCAUGCUUUCCACCAGAGGAGCAGGUGGGAAACGAGUUCUUCCAAGGGAGCGUCUACCGAUACCUGGCGGGCAAGCUGAAAGUCAUCAGAAGGCCGAAUGAAUAAAUCGUUGGUGGUUCAUCUGCAUGUACAACCAUCAACUGUUGUGUGCACCUUUUUGCAGAUCCAUAUUACUUAGUCACAAUCUGUGCCAGUAACACAUAUCAGUAACUGGCUUUUUGAUUGAGGCUUCUUUUAUGAUGUCUGAAAGUAAGGCAUUCUGCA